GCCAAACCUGUGUUUUUGUAUAUAAAAUAAACAUUUUAUAAAUUUCAUUAGAAUGAACAAAAUUUAAGGAAAAGACUUUUUUUUUUUUUCCUGAGAAGACUUACCAAGGCGGCUCCAAGAAAUGAUUGGUUUGGGAUUUCCUGUGGCCAUGCAUUCCAAAACUACAGUCUGAUGAAGAGAUGUUGUUAUGUUCUGUGGACCUGCUAUAAUUGUUGCCUUAAAGGAUAUGUUAGAAACCAGUAUCUCUUGUGAAGAAUAAACAUUUAUGUGAAGUUCAACAAUGUCUUCAGUCCAGCAGAGGAGAAGAAGUAACAACUGCGCCAAUAAAACGUCAUAAAAAUGGAAAAACCACUCUGCGUGGUACCUGGAAUCACAGUUAGCGAGGCCUCCAUACUUUUACGUCGGUGGGCUACAGUGGCAGCAAUACAACGAUAAUUUCCAGAAUCCCUUUGGCUGACAUCAUAGAUCUGCAAUACUCCUGUUGGUAGGGCAAUGGAGUUUCACUCUUGUUGCCCCGGCUGGAGUGCAAUGGCAUGAUCUCAGCUCACUGGAACGUCUGUCUCCAGGGUUCAAGCGAUUCUCCCGCCUCAGCCUACCAAGCAGCUGGGAUUACAGGAUGUUUAUCUGCAAACAUUUUAAUUUUGGAUCUAAACCUAUGGACCAUCCCCUGCUGUUUAUCUACUAAAGAAUUAGGAAACAGAUGGCUAGAUUCACCUUUAAAAUAUCAGCUUCACAUUCAGGCAGAACAACCUGAUUUCUCAAUAAUCAGUCAGUGUUAACGUAAACCAAGAGCCCCACAAGAAGUCAUUAAAGCUGUGCUGUUAAGAGGCCAGAGCUCUAUAAAAUAGGCAAGAAACAAGGUCUUGAGAAACAUGCGCUGUCCUCAAAAACAACCUUGCAAACACAAUAAAUCUGAUCCUUGACCUUGCCUCUGUCUCAAGCUGCUGUCCUCAAGGGUAGAGAUCAUUGGAAAACCAAUGUAAUUUUGCAGUUUCUCCCCAUUUCUGGAAUCUGGGCAGACCUUGACCUUGCCAGCAGAAUGAGAUGGAAGAUCAUGCUAAUUCCAUACCAGGUCCUUGAGAAGCGCUGUUUGAUGCCACCCACUCUCCUGGAACUUGCCAAAGACAUGUGAACAAACUCAGGACAGCCUGCUGGAUGGGGAAAGACAUGGUCCAAUCUUUCCUUUCACCCCAACCAACAACCAACUAUGUGACUGAGAUCAUCCAGCCAACAUUCUCCUUCACCAGCAAGCCUAUCAGCUGAUUGUAUACACACGAGAUAUUGCCCCAAUUUUAAAAAAUUGCUCAAUGAAUGUGGAUGUAAAUAAAAAAAAGUUAUACAAGUAGAUGACAACCCUCAGGUGACUGUUACACAAGUGAGGUUCCCAGAAGGAAACAAUCUAGGAAGGAACUGAAAUGGUUAAGCAGAAGCCAAAUGAUUCUGGAGCUAGGGCUUGAAUUGGGUCAAAUUAAAAUGAAGCAAUGAAGGCAUCCCCAGGCCUCAAAGUAACCUCUUCAAUCACAGAACUGCAUCCUAGCCUUUUAAAUAAAGUGAAUAAGC
rnacentral:lncRNA from 1 species